rnacentral:tRNA from 1 species
GGGCAUAGCUCAGUGGUACAGCCAGUGUUUAGCAUGCACAAGGUCCUGGGUUCAAUCCCCAGUAUGGCCA